rfam:Schistosoma rodhaini strain Burundi genome assembly, scaffold: SROB_contig0000038
GCACUGCUGAGGAGUCCCAUACUAGGACGAAAAGGCCAUCCAGUGC